GGAUCGAUGAUGAGUCCCACAAAAAAAACAUUCCUUGGAAAAGCUGAACAAAAUGAGUGAAAACUCAUACUGGCACUGUCAUCGGAACUGAGGUCC
ensembl:snoRNA SNORD116 Small nucleolar RNA SNORD116